GGGUUGUAGGGAAGAAAAGAAGGUUAGCAUUCCCAGAAUAGAAAUGGGAAACAUCUUAGUGACCCAGGUACAUAUACAUGAUUAAGGAAUUGCUACCUGCCUUGUGGCUUUGACUGAGCCU
ensembl:snRNA U6atac minor spliceosomal RNA